rnacentral:misc_RNA from 1 species
AAAGUCGUAACAAGGUUUUCCGUAGGUGAACCUGCGGAAGGAUCAUUAGAAAUGAGAGCCGGACCCAUGUCGUGGGGCGAAAAGCUCGCACGUGCCCAGUAAGCGCCCGUAAAACCUCCACCCUUGUGUAUUAUUCUUCUGUUGCUUUGGCAGGCCGCGACCCUCUGGGGGGAGCGCUGGCUUCGGCUGGAGAGUGGCCUGCCAGAGGACCAAACUCUGUAAUUUAAUGCCGUCUGGGUACUACGAAAAUAGUUAAAAA